UUUUUGGGAUACUCAUUUUGGCUUUUGCUGUGAUGUUAAUGAUGGAACUUCCUAGAAGCUUGCACGUGUUCCUGGUGUUUUAUCUCUUCAGCCAAACAAGAGUUAUGACUCAGAUAAUAAAAACUAUUGAGUUGACAGGUUAGAUGCAAGCUCAAUACUAGCUAUCAGUUGAGUGACAAGAAUAAAAGCUCAGCAGGGAAGUGGACAUGAUAAUUGAAGCAUAAGCAUAUUGAAAGGAAACCAGAGGGAGCUAUAGUAUAACAGUGAAUUAGCUUAAAUUCCUUAUUUGUAGUUGGGUAACUUCAAAUAUUUGUUUUAAUGAGUUCUACUAAUAAAUUUCCAUUUCCAUUUGCUUAGUAAAUGAAAUUAACUAUAG